CCUACGGGGGGCAGCAGUGGGGAAUAUUGCACAAUGGGGGAAACCCUGAUGCAGCGACGCCGCGUGAGUGAAGAAGUAUUUCGGUACGUAAAGCUCUAUCAGCAGGGAAGAAAAUGACGGUACCUGACUAAGAAGCCCCGGCUAACUACGUGCCAGCAGGCGCGGUAAUACGUAGGGGGCAAGCGUUAUCCGGAUUUACUGGGUGUAAAGGGAGCGUAGACGGCAGCGCAAGUCUGGAGUGAAAUCCCAUGGCUUAACCAUGGAACUGCUUUGGAAACUGUGUAGCUAGAGUGCAGGAGAGGUAAGCGGAAUUCGUAGUGUAGCGGUGAAAUGCGUAGAUAUUAGGAGGAACACCAGUGGCGAAGGCGGCUUACUGGACUGUAACUGACGUUGAGGCUCGAAAGCGUGGGGAGCAAACAGGAUUAGAUACCCGUGUAGUC
rnacentral:rRNA from 1 species